rnacentral:tRNA from 1 species
GAGGGUAUAGCUCAGUGGCAGAGCGUGUGCUUAGCAUGCAUGAGGUCCUGGGUUCAAUCCCCAGUCCCUCCG